rnacentral:rRNA from 1 species
UAGAGUUUGAUCCUGGCUCAGGAUGAACGCUAGCGACAGGCUUAACACAUGCAAGUCGAGGGGCAGCGGUGGUGAAGGCUUGCCUUCACCAGCCGGCGACCGGCGCACGGGUGAGUAACACGUAUGCAACCUGCCUGCCACAGCCGGAUAAUCGGGAGAAAUUCCGUCUAAUACGGCAUAAUGCAUCGACGGGACAUCCUGUUGGUGCCAAAGGUUAAUUCCGGUGGCGGAUGGGCAUGCGUCGCAUUAGUUAGUUGGCGGUGUAACGGACCACCAAGACGACGAUGCGUAGGGGUUCUGAGAGGAAGGUCCCCCACACUGGUACUGAGACACGGACCAGACUCCUACGGGAGGCAGCAGUGAGGAAUAUUGGUCAAUGGGCGGGAGCCUGAACCAGCCAAGUCGCGUGAGGGAUGACGGCCCUAUGGGUUGUAAACCUCUUUUGCCGGGGAGCAAAGUGCCGCACGUGUGCGGUUUGGAGAGUACCCGGAGAAAAAGCAUCGGCUAACUCCGUGCCAGCAGCCGCGGUAAUACGGAGGAUGCGAGCGUUAUCCGGAUUUAUUGGGUUUAAAGGGUGCGUAGGCGGACGCUUAAGUCAGCGGUAAAAUUGCGGGGCUCAACCUCGUCGAGCCGUUGAAACUGGGUGCCUUGAGUGGGCGAGAAGUACGCGGAAUGCGUGGUGUAGCGGUGAAAUGCAUAGAUAUCACGCAGAACUCCGAUUGCGAAGGCAGCGUACCGGCGCCCAACUGACGCUGAAGCACGAAGGCGUGGGUAUCGAACAGGAUUAGAUACCCUGGUAGUCCACGCAGUAAACGAUGAAUGCUAGUUGUCCGGGGCGAUUGAGUUCUGGGUGACACAGCGAAAGCGUUAAGCAUUCCACCUGGGGAGUACGCCGGCAACGGUGAAACUCAAAGGAAUUG